CAAUAGCGUAUAUUAAAGUUGUUGCAGUUAAAAAGCUCGUAGUUGAAUUUCGGGUGCUCGUAGUCGGUCCUUCAUUGGGCUGGCGCGUGUGCUCUCCCCGCCUUUGGCGGCCUUUACUGUGAAAAAAUUAGAGUGUUCAAAGCAGGCAAUCGCUUGAAUACAUUAGCAUGGAAUAAUAAGAUAGGAUCUUGUCCAUUUUGUUGGUUGCGGACAAAGAUAAUGAUUAAUAGGGAUAGUUGGGGGUGUCCGUAUUGAGCUGUCAGAGGUGAAAUUCUUGGAUUUGCUCAAGACGAACUGCUGCGAAAGCGUUCACCAAGGAUGUUUUCAUUAA
rnacentral:rRNA from 1 species